rnacentral:rRNA from 1 species
AUACGUAGGUGACAAGCGUUAUCCGGAUUUACUGGGCGUAAAGGGCGUGUAGGCGGUCUUGCAAGUCAGAAGUGAAAUUCCUGAGCUCAACUCGGGCGCUGCUUCUGAAACUGCAGGACUUGAGUGCUGGAGGGGAUAGCGGAAUUCCUAGUGGAGCGGUAAAAUGCGCAGAUAUUAGGAAGAACUCCGAUUGCGAAGGCAGUCCGCUGGGGCACGUCUGACGCUGAUGCUCGAAGGUGCGGGAAUCAAACAGGAUUAGAUACCCUGGUAGUCCGCACGGUAAACGAUGAUUACCCGCUGUCGGCGGCAGACAGUCGGCGGCCAAGCGAAAGCGAUAAGUAAUCCACCUGGGGAGUACGCCGGCAACGGUGAAACUCAAAGGAAUUGACGGGG